rnacentral:rRNA from 1 species
UACGGAGGAGGCUAGCGUUGUUCGGAAUUGACUAGGGCGUAAAGCGCGCGGUUAGGCGGCUUUGUAAGUUAAGAGGUGGAAAGCCCCGGAGCUCAACUCCGGAACUGCCUUUAAGACUGCAUCGCUUGAAGUCCAGGAGAGGUGAGUGGAAUUCCGAGUGUAGAGGUGAAAUUCGUGAAGAUAUUCGGAAGAAGCACCGAGUG